rnacentral:tRNA from 1 species
GGGUCGUUAGCUCAAUGGCUAGAGUACCUGCCUUUUAAGCAGAGGGAUCAGGGUUCGAGUCCUUGGCGACCCACCA